rnacentral:lncRNA from 1 species
CACACUAAAGCAAAAAUAUUUUUAAAUGCUAAAAAUGCAUAAAAUACUGAGCUCUAAUACUGUUUAUCAUGUAUAUCGAACCUACUACUACUCUGUGUUGCCAUAAAAGAUAUUUAUAACCUUCAGCACCGGCUGCUACAGAUGUGACCAAGGCCGAGUGUGCAGUGUAGCCCAGGGCGUCUUUUCUAAACUGACUGGCCUAAAACAUAAUCAUAGCUUGCUGGUGGAGCUAAAUGAAUAAAUACUGCUAUGAAAGGAGUCUUCUGAAAAAAGAUAGUAAAUGCUAGAUGUACAAAACACAUUUAUGUGAGAAACAAUGGGAAAUAAAACGGAGCACACACUUCUCCUCUCCCCACCCAUGGUGGCUUUCAUCCUCCCAGGCCUCAAGUGCCCACUUCCCAUUUUUCUGCGUUGCUGCAUCACUGCUUAAAUUCUACUCCUAAUCCAAACUCCCCAGAUGCUUCCUUGUUU